CUAAACCCUACAAGAAUAUUUUCAAAAAAUUUCAUCAUACAAUUUGUGAUGAGCUGAUAGGCACUAAUCAGUCCAAGCUUUUAAAGGUGGUAGGAAUUGUUGCAACGUGAGGACAACGGAACAAAGGUCAGGUGGUUUAUUGUUUGGGGUGUCUUUUAUACCUUUAUAAAACUGAAUGUAGGCAGUUAAGGUCGAACACGUGGGCAAUAAAGCGUGGAUUGUAUCAAACAGUAAAAGGCAAGU
rnacentral:sRNA from 12 species